rnacentral:lncRNA from 1 species
UCGCAGACCAAUAGCAGCCCACCACAUGACCCCAACCAGAGCCAAGAACUCGCCGUCCCAAUCACCAGUGUUAACCCGACCUCUCAUCCCUCCCUCCUUAAAUGACCCUCCUGGCUUUCGCUCGUGUCGUCACCUUUCGCUCUGUUUUGCCGCAAUCCACACGUUCGGGCAACAAAGCAUCUCCUCCAAAUCUCCCCAAUCCCUUGCCCACUACGAAGCGAUCUCCCCUCCACUAUCGAAGCUUCCUCCUGUUCUUUGAUUCCGAUCGAGGUUGCCUCGGUGGUGAUCGAGUAGGGGGUUCUAGGGCUGGGGUUGGGGUUGGGGUUGGGAGGGAUCGGCCGAUCGACAAUGGGGCUUCUCUUCGUGGAGUCGCUCCCUGGCCCGAAGGUCUUCAAGUGCGGGUGCUGCAAGGUCGACUCGGCGUCCCAUGACGCGAUCAUCUCCAAGGAUUUCCACGGGCGGUAUGGCCGCGCGUACCUCUUCAAGAGCGUGUGAGUGUGACUUCAAGAGCUUUACCCUCGUUCUUGUUGGAGAAAUGAUAUUAGGAUUUUUUGACCUCAAUGUGGUGUUUAUGCGCCUAUGGUAAUGGAUUCUAUGAUGGCACAUAUGUUCUUGGUCUUUAGGUUUGCUGUGAUGUAGGUCUUUUCCUUGUUGUUGGUUUCACAUUGGUAUAAGCUACGAAAUGGUGCCACUUCUUAUUAGCUUAAACUAAUGGUCUUCUGUCUAACGAGUAUUCUUGUGUCCUCUAUUUCGUUGCCAACUAGCAGUUUCUCAUAUGAUGGAGCGGUAACCAUUUAGUGGCACACACACUCCUCUCUGCCCUCAUUUCUCCAAAUCUGGCAUUGAUGGAGUGGGGACAUGGUGAGAUUGGUGCAGUAGGUGUCCGGUUAAUGGCUCUUCCCCAGCGCUUCUUAUCUUCUUUGGCCUAUUCUCUCCUUGAGCUACCACCCUAUCCAAAUCUAGCCAUGUGAGGCAAGGGUGAGCUGAUGACUAUUCGUUGAAUAGUCAAAAGUUUGAAAACAAUGAGGGGCUGGGAGGUAAAACCCUAAAACAGUGGUUUGGAGUAGGAGUGUUGGUAGCGAAGUGUUCCACCUGAAUCUUUUUGGGUCUUGGUAACCUGUUUGAGUCGAGAUUUUAUGGGUGGUACACCUGAGAAAUUAAUGGAACUCUUAACACUAGAUGUUCUAUGCUCUUUUAGUCUGCUUAACUGGUCGGUUAGAAGUUUUCUAACUUCUUUACGUAGAUUUUGCAUGUAAUGACCGUAACGACGUUAAGUUUCAAAACUUACAACUUACUAAAAAACGAUGGUAGAUACAAGAUAGAAAUUAGAAGUUGUUUAUUUCAUUGAUAUGUUUUCUCUAUUUAUAUAAGUUAGGAGGGAUGAUUUCUUGUUGGAGAAAUCUUAUCUGUUAUUAUACAUGAUACUUCUAUCAAGAAUGUCGAUCUUGGACUAAUGCAAUGAAAAUACUUUACAGGCGAGAGGCUUAGUGAGUAGUUGAUCAGUCGUAUAUACAUGAGAAAUACGUAGUUGAUAUCAGACAACUUGAUCUCGUAAGAAAUGGAAGUCGAUGUCAAUAUGUUUCAUGCGAGAGUGGAACACUGGAUUGACGCAUGGGAAGGUAACUUCGACAUUAUCACAAUAUAUCGUAGAAGUAAGAGUAGAAUCGAUGUUGAGUUUCUUGAGUAGAUUCGUAACCCAAUUGAGUUCUACAAUAAUAGUGACAAUGACACGGUAUUCAGCUUCAGUUGUAGACCGUGUGAUUAUCUUUUACUUUUUAAAACUCCAACUAAUUGGAUUAGCUCCAAAGAUAAUAUACCCCAACUUAGAUGUUUUAUCAUCAAAUUUCUUGCUCAAUCAACAUCAGUAAAAGCAUGGAGAUGAAGUGAAGAGUGUUUGCGGAAAAAGAGAUCAUGAUUAAGGGUCUCUUUAAGAUAUCACAGGAUUCAUUUGAUUGCAGACCAAUGCGUAGUAGAUAACCGCUACAUAAAUUGUGAUAGUUUAUUGAUCACAAAUGAGAUGUCUGGACGGAUGAGAGUUAAGUACUGUAAAUAAUCAAUUACUUAUCGGUAUUAAGUGAGUUUAGAAUUAUCAUCACAUUAUUUGACACAAUACCAUGAUGCAGGAAUUAGGACAGUUGUAUCGAAACAUUAAAUUAAAUUUUAUAUUUUGAUAAUAAUUAAUUUUAUGAGUCCAAGAAGUUGAGUCUUUUAAUAAUAUCAUGUCACAUGCAACAUAGUCUAUUAAUUAUCAGAGGUCUUCUGAUAAGCUGGCCAGAGAAGACUUAGAAAUGUGAAACACCGUAAGUCAACAAUCAAAAUCAUUACUUAUUUUUAACAUAAAUAUCUUUAUACAACUCUCAUCUUUUAUCUCAAUCUUUCUCCCUUACCCAAUAUAUUUAAAUUAAAUAAAUAAUAAAUCACAAACGAUUUCUUCCAUAAAUUUCUUUUUUUUUAAAUCAAAAGGAUUUUUUUAUUUUUAAUCUUUUGUUUCUUCACAUAAUCGAUCUUUUUGCAUACAAGUAUCUUAAGGAUGGAGGAACGAGAUGGCAUCACUAGGGUUUUAUAAAGUAAUAUAUUUUGAUAGAUUAUUUACGUAGUCAUAGAGGAAAAAAAAAUGGAUAUUACCACUUUUUAUUAUGUGUUAUUUAAUCUAAUAAUAUAAUACAGGAUGACACUUUGCUAUCUGGUGAUUAGAAAAAUCAUAUGCGUAAAUUAAAAAGGCCAUUAACGAAAGUGGUCAAUCUAAAUCAUGAUAAAGUCGAGUAAUCAAUCUUGAAUAUAUGAUCCGUUAGAUCAUUUAUGCAUUAUGAUAAUUAAACGAUAACCCGUAGAUACAAUACGUUUUGUGGCCUUCGUAUAAAUAUGUUGAACAAACCGAAACAAUAAUAUGAACGGUCAUUGAGGUAUGUGUUGGAUGCUAUCCAUGUAUCCCUAAUGAAAUGUGUCGUUCGAAUGGCUAGUCAAUGGGACCCGACAAAUUCUCUACAUCACCAAAAAAUAUUACUCAUUGAUAUUAAAACGAAUUUAAAGUAACUUUUUUUUUUAUUUCAUAUUAAAUAUAAUUAUUAAAUCCUUCCAUAUGCAUCGUCAUAUAUAUAUAUAUAUAUACCCAUUUAGGAAAGAAAUAAUAUUUUUGCAUCGAUUUAUCAUUUAUUUAUCUCAUUGAGAGUAGAGCCAGAGGAUGAAGAAAGAAAAAAAGAAUUCAUCUUACCACAUAUAACAAAAAAUAAUAGAUAAGAACUAAUCUAAUAUACUUAUUUUACGAACCUCAAUCAAAACUCAUUUUGAGAUAUAAAAUAUUGAGAUCAUAUAAUUUUGAGGACAUCAUCUUCAUGUGAGUUUCAGUCAUACUAUUAGAUAUAAUAUACAUGAGAUUGAAUAUCAAUACAACUCAAAAAAUUUAAAUUAUUGUAUCAACGUAAUAUACAUAUAUGUAUCAUCUGAUUCUUUUGGACUUCAUCGUAUAUGAAUGACAUUUCUUUUAUAUAUCAAGGGUUCAUCAUUCUUGGACCAUCACCAUAAUUUGCCUAUGUGCUGCAUUACUCCCAGGUGCACCUACUUAUUGCAGCUGAUAAUGUGGACUAUUUAUCUUCUCAUUAGCCAGUGUCUCUACAUGGUCCACAUGCCAGCCAAUCAGAAAAUAAACAAAGCACGUGGUUGAAACGUGACUCCAUUCAUGCAUUUGUAUUUGUUUGGCAAGGCGUGCAUCCCACGAGUUACUUUGACUUCAUAUUCUUGAUUUGGAUGAUAUAUAUAUAUAUAUAUAUAUAUAUAUAUAUAUAUAUAUAUAUAUAUAUAUAUAUAUGAUGACCGUAUUUUUCUGUAGAUGCAUUUGUAAAUGAGAUAAAUAGCUCGAGAAUGAGUUAAGAUUAUUUCUCUAUGGCCGAUACCUAACGUGUGAUUCCAUCUCAUGUGUUGGAUUCACCCAUUUUAUCUUUUUACGACCUUAAUAUGACCCACUGGUGAUAGUGAUUGCAUAUUUGGAAAAUCGAAUCUAGCCUUGUGAACAGACACAUGCUCCGAAACUUCGAUGCGUUUUGACUUAUGAGACAGAUAACUUUCUUUAUGUUGAAUCCACCGGUCGAUGAUAUAAGACAAAUAAAUGUCAUAUGGGUAUCAUCUCAUCCAGUCUUUUAGAAUUAGAUUUAGAUGGGUUCUCUUUGCAUUAUCGAUUUAAUUUAUAGAUGUUCUUGGAUCGAAGAGUGCAGAUUAUUUAUUGACGUGACGCAGUCUCUCCAGUAGAUGUAAUAUGACAAAUAAAUGUCACAUGGGUAUCAUCUCAUUCGGUCUUUUAAAAUUAGAUUUAGAUGACUUCUCUUUGCAUUAUCGAUUUAAGAAAAGGGAGAGACUGCAUCACGUCAAUAAAUAAUCUGAACUCUUAGAUCCAAGAACAUCUAUAAAUAGCCCAUCCACCACACACCUCAGCACACCAUUCCUUCUGUCUCUCUCUCCUGUUAUACGGUGAAGCUAAUUGGAGACAUGGCGAGCCACAUCGUCGGCGAGAAGGUGAGUGGAACGGUGGUGCUGAUCCGGAAGACCGGCCUAUGCUUCAACUACUGCGGCGGCACCGUCAUCGACAACGUGCUCGGCCGAAGCAUCUCCUUCCAGCUCGUCAGCGCCACCGUCGGCGACGCUAGUGAGCUGCUCUCUCUCUCUCUCUCUCUCUCCCUCCCCUCCCCUCCCCUCCCCUCCCUCCUCCUCCUCCUCUCUCUCUCUCUCUCNNNNNNNNNNNNNNNNNNNNCUCUCUCUCUCUCUCUCUCCUCCCCCCCCCCCCCCUCCUCUCUCUCAUCUUCUUCUUGUCAUCAUCGUGUUAUAGUUAGUGGAAAUGAUAGAAGCGUUGAUGUGCAGAUAAUGGGAAUCGUGGGGUCGUCGGGGAGGAGGCAUAUUUGGAACAGCACAUCACUUCGUUGCCCGCCCUGGCUGCCGGCGAAACUGCUUACCAAGUGACGUUCCACUGCGAGGAGAAGAACGGGAUUCCCGGCGCCGUUAUCGUCAAGAACAACCUCAGCUCCGAGUUCUUCCUCAAGACCUUGACUCUCGAGGACUUCCCCGGCAAGGGCCGCAUCCACUUCGUUUGCAACUCCUGGGUCUACCCGGCCGUUAAGUACAAAUACGACCGCGUCUUCUUCGCCAACACCGUCAGUAUCUACCAACUCUAUAUAUAACACAGAUGAGAUUGGCAUCUUUGAGUCUCCAAUCACCAUGCAUCGACCUGUUGCAGACGUAUCUUCCGGGAGACACACCACUGCCGCUGAAACCAUACAGGGAAGAAGAACUCUGUAACCUGAAGGGAGCUAACGUCGACGGGCAGCUGAAGGAAUGGGACCGCGUCUACCGUUACGACUACUACAACGAUCUCGGUAGCCCAGACACGUGCCAGGACUUGGCUCGGCCCAUCCUCGGAGGGACUCCGGAGCACCCUUACCCGCGCCGUGGGAGGACCGGCCGGCCACCGACAAAGAAUGGUAACACUUGAUCAUAGACGUCUUUUGUUCACAUCAUUCUCUGAUCUGAUGCCGUUCAUGUGUUUGACAUAAUAGAUCUCAAGUCGGAGAGCAGGCUGCCGCUGCUGAACCUGAACAUUUACGUGCCCCGGGAUGAGCAGUUCGGGCACCUUAAGAUGGCCGAUUUCCUCACGUAUGCCUUCAAGGGCGUCGUCAGAGUAGUGCUCCCGGUGCUGCAGGCCAUAGCGGGCGCAACCCCCAUCGAGUUCAACUCGUUCGAGGACGUGCUGAAGCUCUACGAGGGCGGCCUUCCGGUGCCCCCCAAUCCCCUGCUUGAGGAGCUCCGACAGCUAGUUCCAUUUGAGAUGAUACGGGCGCUGCAGCGCGUCGAGGGCGGCCGGGGCCUGCUCAAGCUCCCUAUGCCCCAAGUAAUCCAAGGUAAUAACCCCGAUAAUAGAUUAACUGGGUUGGAUCGGACAAGUUGAUGACCAUUUGACUCGGUUGGCAGUGGAUAAAACUGCCUGGCGAACCGACGAAGAGUUCACUCGCGAAAUGCUAGCCGGUUUGAACCCGGUGGUCAUCAGGCGUCUCGAGGAGUUCCCUCCCACGAGCAAGCUUGAUGCUUGCAAGUAUGGCGACCAUACCAGCACGAUAACUGCAGCCCACAUUGAGCACCACCUUGACGGACUCACCGUGCAUCAGGUGAGAAGCUUAUCUGGUGUGAUGCAUGUAGCGCUAGCGAAGUAGUCUUGCUUCAUCGUGCUCCUUUUCUCCCUCCUGAAGGCACUGAAGCAGAACAAGCUCUUCAUCUUGGAUCAUCAUGAUGCAUACCUCCCCUACCUCAACCGCAUCAACGCUCUCGCCGUCAAAGUAUAUGCCACCAGAACUCUGCUGUACCUGAGGCAGGACUCCACGCUAAAGCCAUUGGCGAUCGAGCUCAGCUUGCCUCACCAGGACGGAGAGCAGCAUGGCGCCGUCAGCAAGGUGUACACACCGGCUGAAAGCGGCGUGGAAGGAUCGAUCUGGCAGCUGGCGAAGGCCUACGCCGCCGUCACGGACUCCGGCUACCAUGGCCUCAUCAGCCACUGGUGCUUACAGAAUCACAGCAUGCUCUAUUCUGAGUCCCUGUUGUUGUUCGCCUGCCUGAUCACCAUUCUUUUACCUCGAUCGCAGGCUCAACACACACGCGGUGAUGGAGCCGUUCGUGAUCGCGACGCACAGACACCUGAGCGUGAUCCACCCGAUCCACAAGCUUCUGUCGCCGCACUACCGCGACACGAUGACCAUCAACGCCUUGGCCCGGCAUGCCCUCAUCCCCGCCGGUGGCAUAUUCGAGAUGACGGUCUUCCCAGGGAGGUACGCGUUGGAAUUGUCUUCCACGGUCUACAAGAGCUGGAAUUUCCGGGAGCAGGCUCUCCCCGCUGAUCUGAUCAAGCGGUACGAAUCCUCGAAAGCUCGAAUCGUGUCUCACGAUGAGUUCUACUCUGUGCAUGACCCAAAGAUUCAUCUCUGUGCAGAGGAGUUGCGGUGAAGGACCGAGACGACAGGCUUUGCCUGCUGAUCGAGGAUUACCCUUAUGCCGUGGACGGGCUUCAGAUAUGGCAUGCGAUCGAGACAUGGGUCGGAGAGUACUGUGCAAUCUACUACCCGACGGACGACGUCGUGAAAGCUGAUGCCGAGCUCCAGGCCUGGUGGAAGGAGGUCCGCGAGGUCGGCCAUGGCGACAAAAAGGACGAGCACUGGUGGCCAGCCAUGCAAACCACAUCCGAACUGAUCGAGACAUGCACCACCAUCGUCUGGAUCGGUUCUGCGCUCCACGCCGCCAUCAACUUCGGGCAGUACCCCUACGCUGGGUACCUGCCAAACCGGCCGACCAUGAGCCGGCGCUUCAUGCCGGAGCCGGGCACGCCGGAGUACGAGGAGCUGAAGAAGAACCCGGACAAGGUGUUCCUGAAGACCAUCACCAGCCAGCUGCUCACCAUGCUGGGUCUCAACACCAUCGAGAUCCUGUCGAACCACGCGUCCGACGAGGUGUACCUGGGACAACGGGACACGCCGGAAUGGACGUCGGAUGAGAGGGCGGUGAAGGCGUUCGAGCGCUUCGGGCAGCGACUCAAGGCGAUCGAGGCGGAGAUCAUGAAGAGGAACGGCGACCCAAGCUUGAAGAACCGCAAUGGCCCGGUGAAGAUGCCUUACACCUUGCUCUUCCCGAGCAGUGGGGUUGGGGUCACCGGCAGGGGAAUCCCCAACAGUAUCUCCAUUUAAGUCGCCUGUCGAAGUAUGGAGUAGCCAUGAAGAUUGUACCGAAUAAAUCUGAUGCGUUGUGUGAGAGGCUGUGAGAGACUGCAUUUGAAUAAAUUUAUUGAGCUAUUCUGAACAUUAAUCUUUAAUUUGAUUUCUUCAACAAUUAAAUCCGUGCUAUUACAGAAAUAUGGAUGUGGCCAACUAGUAAAAAAAAGUAUGAAAUAGCACAAAUUUAUCUACAUUUUGUAAUGUAUCCUAACCAUUUAUAAUGUAAAAAAUCAUGAUAAAAGCAAAUAUAGAAUGAUAUCUUUUUAUUUCUUACAUAUUUUAUACCCCCAAUCAAUCUAUAAUUUAAAGAUCAAUCACAGAUUUGAUUGUGUGAUUUGAGUAAUUAAUUGUUGAAAAUUUUUUACUCAAAAUAUGUAUAAUAAUACACAUUAGUCCAAUCAAAUGAAUGAAAUCUAUCGUUUUCAUAAUAAAUUUCUCACUUUUUCAAAUAAUAGAAUCAUAAUUAAGAUAAAACAAUGUUGAAUAUCUCCCACAUGAAUGGUUCGUAGAAAUAAAUAUGCAUGGCUAUUUCAUUGUUACUAAAUUAAAGAUCAUAAACUAAUUUAGAUCUCACUCUUUCUCUUUCUUGUUCUUUUUUUUUUUAUACCUUUUCUUCUUCUCGAAUUAGAAAAAACAUGAUAAAAGUUGUUCCAUCUAUACUGUCAUCUCUUCUUCCCUUCUUUGUUCAUUAACAAAAUAGAAUCUUCAUAAAUGUCCAGGGAUCUAAAAUUAAUCUUGCAAUCUCACAAAUGUUCAUAAACACAUUCCACUUCAUCUCCAUGCCUUUGCUGAUACAGACUGAGUGGGAAACUUUGAUGAUCGCACCUUCACGUCGAGGCAUGUCGUCUUUCUUGGGUCCAAUCCAAUCAGUUGGAGUUUUAAGAAGCAAAAGACAAUCGCCCGGUCUACAACUGAAGUUGAAUAUUGUGUCAUUUCUACCGCUGCUACUGAACUCAAUUGGGUUACAACUCUCCUCAAGGAAUUCACAGUCAGCUCUACCCUUGCUCCUAUAAUUUAUUGUGACAAUGUUGGAGCUACCUACCUAUGCGUCAAUCAAGUGUUACACUCACGCAUGAAACACAUUGCCAUCGACUUUCACUUCGUGCGAGAUCAAGUUGUCAAAUGUCAACUUCGUGUCUCUCAUGUUCAUAUGGCUGAUCAACUAGCAACACUUAGGAAGCCUCUAGCCCGUAAACUAUAUUUGUUGCAUCGAUCGAAGAUCGAUAUCCUUGAUAGAAACUCGAUCUUGCGGAGGCAUGAUAAUAGAGAGAUGAGGAAAUCUCGCUGCUCAAUUGAGAAAAAUCUUCUCUUUCAUCAUGUAUAAAUAGACAUUAUAUGACACUAAUUAAGGUAUGCUUUCUCUUUAUCUUUAUCAUUUCACUCUUCAUUCUAUCACUUUAUCACCUCUAUCAGUAUAUUAAAAUAAUAAUAAAUAAAUAAUAAUAAUAUCAAAAUUAUUAACUUAUCUAAUUUAUCAUAAAAUCUUAUUAUUAUUUAUCUUUCGAUAAUUUAUCAGAACAAUCAAUAAUAAUAAGUUUUUCUCCACCAUUCUCCUCUUCCCAACCCCCCACCUCCUCUCUCCGAAGGUUUUCUUCUCCUCAUUCCUUCUCUUGAUUUCCAUCUCCUUAUACUCUUUCACCGGCUCCACCUUCAUCAUCCGAAGAGGAUAAAGCAGAUAAGAAGGGGAGAGGAGGAGGUGAUGGUAGAGUGGGCUUAGGUAGAGUGAGAGAUAGAGCGGGAGGAGGAGAAAAUCAAGUGAUGGUAGAGUGGGCUUAGGUAGAGUGAGAGAUAGAGCGGGAGGAGGAGAAAAUCAAUUGAAAGAAAGAGGAGGCGAUAGAGGUGAAGAAUGAAGAGGAGAAAGAGAUGGGAAGAUGGAGGGUUAUUUGAAAAAAAAAAAAGAGAUAAUUAGAGUUAAAUCGAAUCAAGUUAGGGCUUAAUCAGUUUGUUCGAUUCAUCUCAAAAAAAUUAAUUUAAUUCUAAAAUAUCAAGUCAAACUUAGUAAAAAACAAUCAUCAUCUUUGAAUUAAAAAUAAAAUACAUAUUCUUUAUUAAAAAUCAAAUACGGAGGCAUUAUUUCAUAAAAGUCUAUUACUAACAUAUUUUUCAGUAAAUUACUAUAUAUAUAUAUAUAUUAUUUUCUUCAUUUAAUAACUUAUAUCCAUAAAAUGAUCAGAAACAUUUUAAGCUUGUUGUAAAAAAUAUUCAAAUGUCAUUUCCCCUCCCACUCUCUAUCGUGGAAGUAUCAUUCAACCAGCACGAUUCAAUACAGGGCAUUUAGAUGGUUCAAAGGAGAAGGACACGGUGGCAUUUCCGAAAGAAUGGGCAUGUUUCUGCGAGUCGGUUAACCUCCAAACCAAUGCACCUCGAACGUGUCGCCCAUCCUGUCCAAGCGCCACAUCUUCCAAUUCACAAUCCCUAGGAGAUGCGGCCCUCUUCCGAACCCCACCCAAUUCAUGAGCGCCAAAAGCGGUUCUUCUCGCGCACCAAUAGCAGCCCACCACGUGACCCCGACCAGAGCGAAGAACUCGCCGGGCCAAUCACCGGUGUUAUCCCGACCUCUCAUCCCUCCCUCCUUAAAUGAGCCUCCUGGCUUUCGCUCGCGUCGACACCUUUCGCUCUGUUUUGCCGCAAUCCGCACGUUCGGGCAACAAAGCAUCUCCUCCAAAUCUCCCCAAUCCCUCGCCCACUCCGAAGCGAUCUCCCCUCGACGAUCGAAGUUUUCUCCUGUUCUUUGCUUCCGAUCGAGGUUGCCUCGGUGGUGAUCGUGUUGGGGGUUCUAGGGCUGGGGUUGGGAGGGAUCGACCGAUCGACAAUGGGGCUUCUCUUCGUGGAGUCGCUCCCUGGUCCGAAGUUCUUCAAGUGCGGGCGCUGCAAGGUCGACUCUGCAUCCCAUGACGCGAUCAUCUCCAAGGAUUUCCACGGGCGGUAUGGCCGCGCGUAUCUCUUCAAGAGCGUGUGAGUGUGACUUCAAGAGCUUUACUCUCGUUCUUGUUGGAGAAAUGAUCUUAGGAUUUUUUUACCUCAAUGUGGUGUUUAUGCGCCUAUGGUAAUGGAUUCUAUGAUGGCACAUAUGUUCUUGGUCUUUAGGUUUGCUGUGAUGUAGGUCUUUUCCUUAUUGUUGGUUUCACAUUGGUAUAAGCUACGAAAUGGUGCCGCUUCUUCAAUGAUUAGCUUAAACCAAUGGUCUUCUGUCUAACGAGUUUGCUUGUGUCCUCUAUUUCAUAGCCAAUUAGCAGUUUCUCAUAUGAUGGAGCGGUAAUCAUUUAGACUUUUUAGCCUUUGUUAGUCUUCUGUAGAUGGACGGAAACAAAAUCGUAACCCAAAUA